AUUUGAAAGAAGGAGUGGUGGGCAGAAAACUGUGCACAGACGGUUUUACUGAGCGUGACACGAUCCUCUGAAGGUCACCCAUCCAUGAUCGGACAGAGAUGUGAUCCAGACCCAGCUAACUGGCCAUGACAACAGGAUCACACACACUCUGCCGCACCACAGGACCCGCUCAAUGUAAUCCAGUGGAAAAGACGGCCAAACACACAUCUGAUCGUUUACUAAGACGAUCAUCAAAGUGAGCACCCGCAGUUCCUACUCAACUCAGGCCUGUGUAGGUACCAGAUUGGCUCGGCCUGCCAGAUCCGCUCAGGGUUCUGUGUUUACAGAAGACGUCCCACACAACAAUUGGCUGUACGUCAGAGAGUGCACAUAUGCCAUGACUGCCAU